CUCAAAACAGAUAGCUACCGACCCAGACAGCCUCAAUAUGCACCGUCCAAAUGUCUGAAUGAUGCUCCAAAAUGCUGUCUAGAUGGGCACCAGACGUGUUGUGCGUGUGGAACGCGCCCAUGACGCCAGGAAUGCUGUCUAGGCCAUGACAUUACCUGUCGCCGCUCCGCGUUGAUCAACACUCACUGAAUCAGUUUCCCGCCCACUUCACGUGCGCUUCUCUGAUGGACGAAAAAAUAUAACAUUAGUCUUUUUUAACGCGUCAAAUUAUGUGUCAUUAUAGAUGACUUCAUUCAUUUUUGCAUCUUACCUAUGUGUGUGAUUUGAAUAUUAAAUGUAAUUAAUGAAAA